rnacentral:rRNA from 1 species
GACGAACGCUGGCGGCGUGCUUAACACAUGCAAGUCGAACGAUGAAGCCGGAGCUUGCUCUGGUGAAUUAGUGGCGAACGGGUGAGUAACACGUGAGUAACCUGCCCUUGACUCUGGGAUAACUGCUAGAAAUGGUGGCUAAUACCGGAUACGACCCUCGGAGGCAUCUCCAGGGGGUGGAAAGAAUUUCGGUCAAGGAUGGACUCGCGGCCUAUCAGCUAGUUGGUGAGGGAAUGGCUCACCAAGGCGACGACGGGUAGCCGGCCUGAGAGGGUGAGCGGCCACCCUGGGACUGAGACACGGCCCAGGCUCCUACGGGAGGCAGCAGUGGGGAAUAUUGCACAAUGGGCGCAAGCCUGAUGCAGCAACGCCGCGUGAGGGAUGACGGCCUUCGGGUUGUAAACCUCUUUUAGUAGGGAAGAAGCGAAAGUGACGGUGCCUGCAGAAAAAGCACCGGCUAACUACGUGCCAGCCGCCGCGAUAA